GAAUUCCUUUGUCCAUUGCUGAGAGAUUAUGGUGACAUGGAUGUUGUUUUUCGAAAUGUUAAAAAACCUUAUUUUUGCAAGUCUGGCCAGAGAACAGGCUUUCCCCACAUUAUGUAAUUUAGUCCUUUGUGGCUUACUAAAAUAGGGAGAUGCCUGGAUAUUCGUUAGUAAGAGAGGGGCUGGCAUUUUCUGGAGGGUGAUACAUUACAUAGUGUUAAAUAACAUUCAAAAUAUGAUGCUAGCAAUAUCACAAAAUUGGGAGAUCCUUUUUAUCUUGGAAGCUUAAGAUAAAUUCCAUUUAUCGAUGACCUUUUUCCCUCCUCUUUUUCAGCUCCUCUGGUGCAAGUGUGGUAGCUAUUGACAACAAAAUCGAGCAAGCUAUGGAUCUAGUGAAAAGCCAUUUGAUGUAUGCGGUCAGAGAAGAAGUGGAGGUCCUCAAAGAGCAAAUCAAAGAACUAAUAGAGAAAAAUUCCCAGCUGGAGCAGGAGAACAAUCUGCUGAAGACACUGGCCAGUCCUGAGCAGCUUGCCCAGUUUCAGGCCCAGCUGCAG
rnacentral:lncRNA from 1 species